rnacentral:rRNA from 1 species
GAUGAACGCUGGCGGCGUGCCUAAUACAUGCAAGUCGAGCGAACAGACGAGGAGCUUGCUCCUCUGACGUUAGCGGCGGACGGGUGAGUAACACGUGGAUAACCUACCUAUAAGACUGGGAUAACUUCGGGAAGCCGGAGCUAAUACCGGAUAAUAUAUUGAACCGCAUGGUUUAAUAGUGAAAGACGGUUUUGCUGUCACUUAUAGAUGGAUCCGCGCCGCAUUAGCUAGUUGGUAAGGUAACGGCUUACCAAGGCAACGAUGCGUAGCCGACCUGAGAGGGUGAUCGGCCACACUGGAACUGAGACACGGUCCAGACUCCUACGGGAGGCAGCAGUAGGGAAUCUUCCGCAAAGGGCGAAAGCCUGACGGAGCAACGCCGCGUGAGUGAUGAAGGUCUUCGGAUCGUAAAACUCUGUUAUUAGGGAAGAACAAAUGUGUAAGUAACUAUGCACGUCUUGACGGUACCUAAUCAGAAAGCCACGGCUAACUACGUG